rnacentral:lncRNA from 1 species
CUGACCGCAGCGGCUAGAGGUUCCAUUGCAGACCCGGAGGCCGUGGCUGUGGUUCGCGGCGGUGCUGUCGCGGGCGCCCUGGCGCAGCCCACGCAGGGGCUCCUGAGGGUCCGCGAGGCCGGGAGGGAGACAUAAGACAUCAGUCAGUACAUGUGAGGUGUGCAUUGGAUUGAUCCAGAAAGUCAGGACGACUCCAAGUGGAAAGGCCUCCAGGUAAUAGGUGGAUUCAAAGAUGUUUCUGAUUGGCAGUUGGUUGAAAGAAGUUACUAUCUGAAGGCUUGGAAUCAAUAGAAAGGAGUGUCUGGGUUAAGAGAAGGGGCUGUGGAGACCGAGGUCCUUAUUAUGUGGAUGAAAUCUCAUAGGUGUCCGCCCUCAGAGGCAAUACAUGGCAAAUGUUUCCUAUUCAGACCUUCAAAAGGCACUAGACUCUCAGCCAGUCUCCUCAGGAUCAGAAAAAGAGCUGGAAAGGGAAGGGGAGUCUACAGAAUAUGAAUUUCCCCACAAGACACCGCUUUGCGGGGCCAUUUCAAAAUUUGUCAAAGAGAUAUAUUUUGGGGUAAAAUACAUUGAUACUUUGAGGGCCUGUUGUCACGUGAUGCUAUACCAGCGUCAGAUUGGAACUUGGUGUCUUGCUGCUAUGGAGUCUGCUGUCAGUCUGGUCAGCUGCACCUGAACUCCAAAGGGAGGUGGGUAUAAUGAGCCAUGUCCAAUCCCCGUCCCUUCCUGGCCUGAGCUCAUUUUUCAGGUUCUUCAGAAUCCCCCUGGUGGAGAUGAGGGAUCCAUUCAGUGGGUUGGGGAAGCUUAGAGUUUUAUUUUUGAUUUACACUAUGUGAAGCAGAAAUUAAAAUACUGUAACCCUGAUAGGGUUAUUUUAAAGCUGCAGGAAUCAAGGCAGGUUGCCGUGGGUAAGAGGAUAGACAGGCAGGUCAUGUAGCAGGACGAGCUGCGGACAAAACCCCUCAGACACCAGGUUAAGGAAGGAUUUGGCUUUAUUCGGCCGGGAGCUUCGGCAGACUCGCGUCUCAAGAACCGAGCUCCCCGAAAACAGAGUUCCUGGCCCUUUUAAGGGCUUACACCUCUAAGGGGUCCACGUGAAAGGGUCGUGAUAGAUUGAGAUCACAUGUGGUUAGAGUGGGAGGGGGGGUAAUCUUUUAACCUCAGGCCUGGUCAUCGGUGGCACCGGCUGGUCUUGCUGCUGACUUCAUUCCUGUUGUUUUUCAACUUUUACUUCAUCCUUCUCUUCAGAGACAGGAGACAGUAAAAGAAAUGGCCUCUCUCCUCUGUCAGAGUGGAGUCCCGAGCUCCCAGAAAUGCCACAUGAUGGACAAACGCUUGGGGGAAAAAAAAAAAAAAGGAGACCUCAGUCGGACACAAAAGCAGGAGCUUUAAAAGAAAAAAUAAGAGAUAAGUUGAACUUCACCAAAAAAUAAGCGUUUCUGGUCUUUGAAAGACACUUAAAAUGAAAAGGCAAGCCAUCGAUGGGGAAAAUACUCAGAAUAAUGGAUCUGACAGAGGGCUGUAUCUAGAAUAUAUGAAGAUAUUUUAAAAUCCAGUAAUUUGACAUAAAGAUGGUAGCCAGCCUGACACACAAAGGAACCCGAAUGGCCAAUGGACAGGAAGGGAACCCGUAUGGCCGAUGGACAGAAAGGGAAGUGAACGUGAACAUCUCAUUGGGGAUGCCGUUAUCACCACUGGAAUAGUCAAAAACAUGGACACCAAGUAUUGGUGGGUGAGUGGAAUGGCGGGAACCCACAUACACGGUCGAUGGGAGCUGCACCCUUUGGAAAUCAUUUCACAGUUUGUGCUCCAUCCUGGCCAAACCCACAGCUGGAGUCUUUCCAAAAACAGUGACGGGAGUUUCCACCAGGGAGUGCCUCAAACCAUCCCGAGAUGGGGCUGGUUGGGAUUCCAGGGAGAGGCACUCGUUGCCAGGGUGAUCCGUCCAGAGCACUUCCUAGGGGAUCUGGCAUAAGGAGGGCUGCAGUGUAUCCUCAGGACAGAUAGGACAGAUAGUGUAUCUUUGGGACAGACGGCAAGAUGGGGAUUCCACCCAGGUCUGUCUGCAGCGAGUUGAUAUGAGAGUUUAAGGAAUUUGGACCAGGGCUGCUUUGUUUCAGGGUUUUGGGCAAUGACCUAAACACCUUUAUCAGUGCCUGGGAAUGCUCAAGGCCCAGCUUGAGUUCAGGCCUGCAGGGAAAACCUGCAACUGGCCGGGCUGCAGAGUGGUCAGGGCACGGAAAGCCAGAAGCUGGGGACACACCUGCUGUAUGAUCCAGCCGUUCGUCUUUACCUGGGAGAAAUGGCACCACCUGGCUGAACAUAACUUCUUACACUCCCAUGAGUCCUCCUGGACAGGUGCUGUGACCUCGUGCAGCCUUGGGGACCCUGACACUCCCACGGACAGGCCAAGGGGUUUGCCUGGGCCCUGUGGGCACAGAGCCCCUUGAGAUGGGUUUCCCUAUGCAGCCCCCCACCCCCCACCGGGGACCCAUGGCACUGCAGCCCUCACCCCCCCUCUAGGGACCCACAACACUGCAGCCCUCGCCCCCCUCCGGGGUCCCACAGCACUGCAGCCCUCGCCCCCCAUCGGGGACCCACAGCACUGCAGCCACGCCCAGGCCACCGCCUCCAAACACAGGGCCGCUGCUGUUUCUGUGAACAGAUACUUCUUGCAGAUGUCAAUGGUUAAUGGAUGGGGAGGUGACCGCCCAAGCAGAAGCCGACCCUCUUCAUGAAGGGGCCACAGGUCACCCCGAAGCAGAAAUCCAUAGAACAGCCAAGGCCACAGCGGAACCGAGCAGGCCACGCCUCUGCCUCUGGGCCGCUCAGGGCCAGGCCUCCCUGACCCCACUGGCUCUAUUGUGAGGACUCAGGGUGGAGCUCUGCUGGGCUCAGUGGCCUUCACAGCCGGGGUCCACAGACCCGGGUCCUACGGGCAGUACUGUGCUCACCUAGAGGCCACGGUCCAUGCCCUGUCUCCAGCAGGCCCAAGUCACUUGUCCAUGGCGAAGGCCCGGCCUUGCUUCAGGCCCCGGGCGCGCUCCCCCUGCUCCCCCUGCCCACCGUUUCUUCCCAGGUGACAGAGGCGGGAGAGCAGGCGAGCCACGUGCCGGGCGCCGCAGCAGGGGGCACUCCAGGCUGGCGCCCCUCUGCCUCUCCGUGGGCUCUGACCUUUCUUCUCCCUGCCUGGGCAGCCUCCUUCAGGUUGGGGAGUCUUUUGUUGACCCCUGGAUUAAAGUCCUAAUCAGGAAUGACCCGGAAGAGGUCUUAUGAGGCUUUCCUCAAGAGAAGAAAAUCUGUCCCUGAGUAUCAGGAAGUGGCCCCUUUCCCUGCACCGCAGUCUUCUGUGACCAGCGGCUCACACAGCGAAGGAGGGGCUGGCGGCCCCCACAGGCCACUGCCCCGAGGCCGCCACGAGAGGGCAGGAGAGCCCUUCCUGGGAGCUCUGUGCCACGGGGAAACGCAGCCCCGCCAAGCACAGCAUGGAUGUUUCCAGCAGGGAAUGAAGAGAGAGGCCCCAGCACAUGAGAGAAGAGCACACUGGGCGGCCCCUGUCGGAGCCUCUCCUGUCCCCAGCGACCCCUGAGAGCAGGCCCUGGGCCUCUGCGGCCCCUCCCGGAGCCACUCUUCAACUGCUGACCUGCUCCCAGCUCUUCUGUGCCCCGCCCAGCUCCCUGCAAAACCUCACCUGAGGGGAAGGAGGCCCUGUUUGGGCUCAGACGCAGCAGGUGCAGCUUGUGGUCCUGGGGCCACACCUGUUAGAGCCCAUCCUUCUACCCCUGCUGGGCCCUGAGUGUCGUCCGUCCCCACAGAACUCAGCAGGGUCAGGUCUGGGCACUCCAGGCCGCCAGCCCCCUGAGUGAGCCCUGGGCCGGAGGUAGUUGUGGGUCACAGGCACCCCAGCCAGAACACCCACAGUGGGUAGAUGUGUGGGGACCGGAUGUGGGUCCUCUCCUGAGAGACGUGCAGAUGGGGAGAGGCUGGGCAGUUCUCAGCACAGCUGGAGCAUCUACCUGUCACCACCUCGGAGCCUCCUGGCCCCGUGGGGGCGGCCCUGGGAGCAGGGUCGGCAGUGAAGAGCAGAGAAAGGCAGUUGGGGAUGUUGCCACUGUCCCCCGAGACCACCCUGCCAUGGAGACGAGGGAGCUGUCCCUUCGCGGAAGGGGGCUGGCCAGCAAGAAGGACAGAGAGUGGACUGGCCGAGGACCGCUGAGCUCAGGACCCAAGGAGGACUCUUCUAGGAGACGAGAGAGCGAACGCCAGGGACCCUGUGCAGGCCUGCUCCUCCGUUUGCAAGGUGAGUUACCAGGUUCACGUGUUUGGAGUUUCUGGACUCAUUGCGGAGUUCCACCCCUGCACGUUGCGGUUCCCCAGUAAUCAAAUCCUGGCUUUUGUGCCUGGAAGUGCACAGGGAGGGGACAACUUUGUGAGUCAGUGGCAGGGCAGGGAGUUCUGGUUCUCCAGAGCCAGAGGCCGUGCUCAGAAGGAUUUCUUAGCAGGAGCCUUGGGGCCCCCAGUCAACACUUCCCUACGGACAGCCUGGCCAGCUCUGUGCACGGAGCAGGCGCCCGAGGGUCCCAGGUCACCAAGUGACCAAGUCGUGAAGGCGCCCAGGGUUUCCUGGGGGUGCGCUGAUCCCAAGGAAGCCACGUGUGGUCAGCAUGGGGGAGGGGACCAGCGCCCCGGGGGGCCUGCAGCACAGCAGGGCCUGCCCUCCUGGGUGAGACUGGCCGGUGCCUGUGGGGAUCUGGGGGGCUACAGUCAGGGCUCUGUGCUCCCGAGGGCCACGCCAGCCCACCUGCCCUGGAACAGAACCCGAGGCUUCUGCCUAGGGGAGUACCUGGGCACCUGCCUCCUGUGCUGCCCUGGACACAUCCCAGCGGCUGCACAUAGGGGAGGCACAGCCUGGGCUCAGGGCCAGGGUCCACUCUGUGGGGAUACUAGACCCGGGGGUGACAAUGCCAGCUCAGAACUUCCCCCCACACCUGGGCUCCUCCAGCCUGGCCUUUCCUGGGGAAGGGAGGGCCUGUCCUUCCUCAGCACUGUGGGAGGGAGGCAAGGCCUGCGGUUGAAGCGUCCCCAACACGGGGCUCCAGGAGAGAAAGCACCACAUCUCAGGGAAUGAAAACAGAGACGGGGCCGCCCAGUGCACUCGGUGGCUCGGAAAUCAUUAAAGAAUGUUCUGAGCCCCCGAUUUUGGCUGUAAAAGGGACUGGCCGGCUUGUGACCGCUCCCCUGUCUGUGCCUUGAGACGGGAGUGUUCAGCGUUGGGGGCAGCUUUCCCUCCAAGAGGAGCUUCACAAACAUCCGCUCUCUGCGGGGCCGCCUCUCCGUGGCCUGGGGCCGCUGUCGGAGGAAGGCUCUCCAGCUGCCGUCAUCUGGGAAACGUGGGGGGCGAGCAGGGGUCAUGGAUGGGGCUCACUGGGGACUGUGAGAAUCUGUCCCGCAGGACUUUCUGGGAUGGAAACGCUGGCAGAGGUGAAGCCUGCGUCAUGUGCUUCACUGAACCCGGCUGCUUAUUUAUGUUCGGAGGGCUGGUUUCAAGGACUCCUCGUCUCCCUCUCCAGUGAUAGCGUCAGCGGAAAUGCAGACGGGGACGGGGCUGCUGGGUUUCCUCCCUGGAAUGAAGCACAGCCGGAGGUUUUGCUGAUUCACCAGCAGGCCCUGACCGCUGAGUUCAGGGUAACAAAUCCACAUGGAUCCUGAGCCCGCAUAGCUCCCUGGGCCUCAGCAUAAACAUCGUAAACCUCCGGGCCCUGGCAGUGUCUGUUUCAUCCCCUCCAGAGCAAGUGCAAGUGUGAGAUUUAGAGAUUCUAAGAGGGGAAGGGCCAGAGGUCUUGAAAACGACCUUCAUUCGUUCAUUCAUUCGAGAAGUUUGCGAGGGCCUCCGUGUCCUGCGUUUAGUGGGGCCUAGGACGCAGAUGUGAAGGGCGCUGCUCUCAGGAGCAGACAGAGGUGGGGAUGAAUCAGUACACGCCCACCUCGGGCCCACAGGGGAGGAUGCGCGGAGCUGUGGGUGUGGGGAGGAGACCCCUCUGCGUCAUGCUGACGGUGUCGGCAGAGUCGCCAGCUUCUGCAGGAGCGGUACCUGUGGGUUCUUCUGUGACUUGUUUAACCGCAUCUUUUGCCCAGUAGUUAGUCUUUUCCUGUUGGGACACCAUGUUGGUAGUUUGGAAAUGGUUUCUUCCAUCCAUUGCCUGCCUUUUAGCUUUGUCGAUGGUGUUCUGUUGUAAAUUUUGGUGCACGUUUAAUGUGAACAAUGGUUAUGAGACGAGUGCCAUGAGUUCCUGUGUGCCUGUCACCCAGCCCGGCCACAAGAGGUGCUGGGGGCAGUGUCCACACCCCCCUUUCUUAGGACGCCUGAGUCUCAGAUGUGACUUAUAGGGUAUUUCUUAUGGCAAGACGGUUAAAACAAACUUCAGCGUCUCGUCUGUCCUUCUAUGGCUGUGGCUUCUGAUGUUCUAAUGGCGUUCUCGUCAGCCGGGGCUGAGAACAAAAUAACAUAGACUGUGGGGCUUAAACAGCAGAAACUUACUUCCCACGGUUCUGGAGGUUGGGAGUCUUGGAUCACCGUGUAGCAUGGUCAGGUUCCUGGUGAGGGUGGGAUUCCUGGCUAACGUAACGAAGGCUCCCUCUCCUGAUACCGUGUCACUGGGGGUGAGGCUUCAACACAGGAAUUUUGGGGGGACACAUCAGCAUUCACUCCAUCACAGGUGGUUAGCCCUUUAAUCCGCGGGAAUUUUGUUUGGGGUUGUGUGAGAUACGGGUCUAACGUUUUCUUUUUCAAAUACGUAGCCAGUUGUCACAUCAUUUAUUGAAAAAGGAAUCUUUUCUCCACCGACUGACAUGAAAUGCUACCAUCAUCGUAAAUAAAAUUCCCGUAAAUACUUGCUGUCUCUGCUGUCUCAGUCCUGACUCACGGGCUGAGUUCUCUUUCUGCACAGUAGCACUGGCAUUAACUGUGACAGCUUUACAGCAGGCUCCCUCCCCGAGGCCGUUCAGAAGCAUUCCUCAGCGGGUCCUACACGUUUCCUCUCCCAUGUCAAGUUUAGAAGCAGUGUCAAGACCCACAGCAGUCCUGCGGGAGUUUUAAGGGAUGCACGGAGUUUAUGGGGACAGUUUGGAAAAUUGACAUUCAUGUGACUUAGAGUCCUACUACUUGAAAAUGGAUUCCAGCUCUCAACGAAUUUAGAGCUUUGGCAAAAUUUUUAAGAUUUCUUUGAUGUCCGAUGUGCUCAUUUCUUGGUUUGUUCUUGAGUAUUUUGUGGAUUUUUAUGAAAUCCACAAAGUUUUUGUUAUAAUGAAUGGGACACUUUCCCAUAAAAUGUUGUAAUUCUGUAUUGCUGUUUUAGUAAACACUGUUGAUUGAUGUAUAUUGAUGUUACACUUGGUCACUUGUAAUAGUUUGUCCGUUCAUUAUUUUGAACUUUUUAGGUAAACAGUCAUAUAAUUAUGCAAAUAAUUAUAGUUGUGUCUCUGCCUUUCUAAUAUUUAUACUUUGUGUAUAUUAUCAUGUUGGCCAGGACUCAAGCGUCUUUCUCUUGUUUCUGACUAAUGCGAAUGAUUCUAAUGCAGGGGUUUCCAAACUGGUGGCCGGGGGGCCAAAUCCAGCCAAUGGUCUCUUCUUGUAAAUAAAGUUUUAUUGGAACACAGUUACACACAUUUUUCUACAUAUUGUCUGAUGGCUACUGUCACGCCACAGCAAUGCUGUUAAAUAGUCCAGACAGAGGCGGUAUUGCCCGAAAAACCUAGAAUAUUCACCAUCUGAGCUUUUACGGGAAAAUUUGCUAAUAUCUGUUCUCAUGCAUUAAAUACAAUGUUUGUUACAGGUUAAGGAAGUUUCUGACUAUUUUUAGCUUUCUGAAUAUCUUGUGGUUGUGUGUGCUUUAAAAUUAGGACUAAAUAUUAAAUUUACCAGUUGCUUGUUAGGGGCCUAUCUUUUGAGAUGCCCAAAGUUUCCCUUUUUUAGUCUCUUCAUGUAGUGAGUUGUACUAACAGAUUCUCUAAUGUUGAACCGUCUUUGCUUUCCGGAGAUAGACUUUACUUGCUCCUGGUGGAUUGGAUUCUGUUUGUUAAUACUUUUAUUUUUGGGUAAUUACAUCCCUAUUAUAAAUAAUAUGUCAGCAUCAUUGUGUGUAGAUGUGUGUGUGUUAUUCUUGCCAUUAGUUUCUCAGGUUUUUGGUUAACUAUUGAUAUGGUUUGGAUCUGUGUCCCCACCCAAAUCCGAUGUUGA